rnacentral:rRNA from 1 species
CCGGCCCUACUUACACAUGCAAGUCCGACGUGAAAGGGGAGCAAUCCCCCGGUAGGGUGGCAAACGGGUGAGUAAGACAUGGGUGAUCUGCCCUGGAGAUGGGGAUAUCCCUCCGAAAGGGGGGGCAAUACCGAAUAGUAUCCGGUUCCGUGAAGGGGGCCGGGGAAAGGGAGGCCUCUGGUACAAGCUUCCGCUCCUGGAUGAGCCCAUGGCCCAUCAGCUAGUUGGUAGGGUAAAGGCCUACCAAGGCGACGACGGGUAGCUGGUCUGAGAGGACAACCAGCCACACUGGCACUGAGACACGGGCCAGACUCCUACGGGAGGCAGCAGUGAGGAAUAUUGCGCAAUGGGGGCAACCCUGACGCAGCAACGCCGCGUGUGGGAAGAAGGCUUUCGGGUUGUAAACCACUUUUGCCCGGGACGAAAGGGGGGACCUGAAUAAGGUUGCCCGAUGACGGUACCGGGAGAAUAAGCCACGGCUAACUCUGUGCCAGCAGCCGCGGUAAGACAGAGGUGGCAAGCGUUGUUCGGAGUUACUGGGCGUAAAGAGUCUGUAGGUGGUCUGUCAAGUCUUUGGUGAAAGGCCGUGGCUUAACCAUGGGAAUGCCAAAGAGACUGGCAGACUGGAGGCUGGGAGAGGGAAGCGGAAUUUCUGGUGUAGCGGUGAAAUGCGUAGAUAUCAGAAGGAAGGCCGGUGGCGAAGGCGGCUUCCUGGAACAGACCUGACACUGAGAGACGAAAGCGUGGGGAGCAAACAGGAUUAGAUACCCUGGUAGUCCACGCCCUAAACGAUGGGUACUAAGUGUGGGAGGGUUAAACCUCCCGUGCCGCAGCCAACGCAGUAAGUACCCCGCCUGGG